UGUAGAGAAUCUGCUGAAUUGCUUCAGUUUUUCUGAGAUGAUGUUCACAGCGCAGAGCAGAGAGGCUCGAUUUCGAGCUGAAUUUCCAUCGUAAUAAAGUGGAGUAUCUGGAAUCGUAUCAGUGGGGUUGCUUGGAUUUGCACUGCUUUUAUUGCUUUGAAAAUGUGGUGUGUUGCUGACAGGUUUAGACUUUUAUAGAUCGAGGCCUGGGCAAAGCUUGGCUCCCAGGGAGCACCGCAGUAAUCCGUGCCAACUGGCCAAUUUGACUGUUUGAAAUAUCAGGGAAAAAAAAGCAUGGAGAUACUAGGUCUGCAGCUGCGGAAUAUCUGCCUGCAGAUGUUUCUGCCAAGAGAAGUGAUUGAAACUCCAUUUCUUGAGAUAUUUUAAUCCUAUCUGAACAAAGACACAUAAAAACGUGCACUGGUAUUGUCUGCAUGGGCCAAGGAGCACAUUGUUCCUUACAGUUGUGUUUACAUGGUCUCACUGCUGCAAGGAACAAGUCUCCUCAAGCCCUCUUUCUCUACGAUUCCCCUUCAAUUAGCUAUAUUAAUCAAACUCUGUCUGCGUCAGGACUGUGAUGCACAGUGGUUUGGGACA
rnacentral:lncRNA from 1 species